GUUAGUUGGUGAGGUAAUGGCUCUACCAAGACUAUGAUCAGUAGGGGGAUCUUUAGAGGAUACCCCCACACUGGAACUGAGAUAAGGACCAGACUUCUAUGGGAAAGGCAGCAGUGAGGAAUAUUGGUCAAUGGAGGAAACUCUGAACCAGCUAUGUCGCGUGCACGGAAGACAGUCUUUUAGAUUGUAAACUACUUUUGCAUAGAAAUAAAAGCUACUACGUGAUGGUAGUCUGAAGGUACUAUGCGAAUAAGUGUCGGCUAAUUUCGUGCCAGCAGCCGCGGUAAUACGAAAGACACAAGCGUUAUCCAGAUUUAUUGGGUUUAAAGGGUGUGUAGGCUGUUUAUUAAGUCAGUAGUGAAAGCUUACAGCUUAACUGUAAAAAUGCUAUUGAUACUGAUAACCUUGAGUAAGAUUGGAGCAUUUGGAAUGUAUGGUGUAGCGGUGAAAUGCAUAGAUAUCAUACAGAACACCAAUAGCGAAGGCAGGAUGCUAAAUCUUCACUGACGCUGAGGCACUAAAGCGUGGGGAGCAAAUAGGAUUAGAUACCCUAGUAGUCCACUGCCCUAAACGAUGAUCACUAGCUAUUGGAAAAACUAUAUUCAGUGGCUAAGCUAAAGCGAUAAGUGAUCCACCUGGGAAGUACGAUCGCAAGAUUGAAACUCAAAGGAAUUGACGGGGUUUCGCACAAGCGGUGGAGCAUGUGGUUUAAUUCGAUGAUACGCGAGGAACCUUACCAAGGCUUAAAUGUAUAACGAAUAAGCUGGAAACAACUUAGUCUAUAAGACGUAAUACAAGGUGCUGCAUGGUUGUCUUCAGUUCGUGCUGUGAAGUGUUGGGUUAAGUCCUAUAACGAGCGCAACCCCUAUUGUUAGUUGCCAGCGGGUAAAGCCGGGGACUCUAACAAAACUGCCGGUGUAAAUCGUGAGGAAGGUGGGGAUAAUGUCAA
rnacentral:rRNA from 1 species